GUACAAUUUGUUUUCUGUUUCUGCAGCUUGAACCUGUGUUCCAAAGGGCUUUCCCUUCCUCCUUCAACUCCUUGGACGUGGUAUCAUUCAGAAAUGGCUCAAUCAUCAACGAAAUGAAUGUUCGCUUUGCAAGCACAUUUGUUCCUAAUAACACUCAGAUUGCAAGUGUUUUGAUCAGUGCUGCUUCAACCGUCACCGGCUUUGACAUUGAAGGCAGCUCAAUCAACGUGAAUGGCACACCAUCAGGUGGAGUAAGCCACAAGAUCAGUUUCAUUACCGCAUCCUGCCUGGUACUGUUGUCAUGGAUUCUGUCAAGCCAGCGAUAGCAUCAGUAUUAAUUUCAGUUCUUGUAGAUCAUUAGAGUAUAAGCUAAACAAAACUUUCUUUCUCUAAAGCACUGCAAUGUCACUAAAUAAUGUCACUAUUUUACUAUUUCUGUAAAAGGUAAUGUCAGUGUGUCUUGCUAUUCUGAGCACUGUGUUAUUAACUUAGUGUAAUUUACUAAAAAAGGGACUAAAAGGGGCUUUGUUGUUAGUAAGUUUUUUUUUAACAUGCAAAUUGAAAAAUCAGAAUGCUAGAUUUCAAACUGGACAGUUCGUGAAGUUACUCUUUAUCAAGGUUUUUACUUUAACAUAAAAUGAUUUAAGGGUCA